UUAAGAUAACAAAGAUCAUAGUUUUAAGGUGUUAACAUCAGCAGUCUAAUUUAACUCUUACAAUGGAUGUACACGUACUUGAAACAAAUGUGAAUCAUGUUUUUCUAAAAAAACAGGGUGAUAAAGUGACUUAAGUGAUCAUGCAUGUUUCUCGUCCCUGAGAUUAAUAUAGCUAUUUUACUUAUUUCCUAGCUGGCAUAG